UACGUAGGGUGCGAGCGUUAAUCGGAAUUACUGGGCGUAAAGCGUGCGCAGGCGGUGAUGUAAGACAGGUGUGAAAUCCCCGGGCUUAACCUGGGAACUGCAUUGGUGACUGCAAGGCUUGAGUGUGUCAGAGGGAGGUGGAAUUCCGCGUGUAGCAGUGAAAUGCGUAGAUAUGCGGAGGAACACCGAUGGCGAAGGCAGCCUCCUGGGAUAACACUGACGCUCAUGCACGAAAGCGUGGGGAGCAAACAGG
rnacentral:rRNA from 1 species